rnacentral:rRNA from 1 species
AUAUCAAUAAGCGGAGGAAAAGAAACCAACAGGGAUUGCCCCAGUAACGGCGAGUGAAGCGGCAACAGCUCAAAUUUGAAAUCUGGCCCCCGGGUCCGAGUUGUAAUUUGUAGAGGAUGCUUUUGGCGAGGUGCCUUCCGAGUUCCCUGGAACGGGACGCCAUAGAGGGUGAGAGCCCCGUCUGGUCGGACACCGAGCCUCUGUAAAGCUCCUUCGACGAGUCGAGUAGUUUGGGAAUGCUGCUCAAAAUGGGAGGUAUAUGUCUUCUAAAGCUAAAUAUUGGCCAGAGACCGAUAGCGCACAAGUAGAGUGAUCGAAAGAUGAAAAGCACUUUGAAAAGAGGGUUAAAAAGUACGUGAAAUUGUUGAAAGGGAAGCGCCUAUGACCAGACUUGGGCCCGGUGAAUCACCCAGCGUUCUCGCUGGUGCACUUCGCCGGGCACAGGCCAGCAUCAGUUUGGCGCGGGGGAGAAAGGCUUCGGGAAUGUGGCUCCCCCGGGAGUGUUAUAGCCCGUUGCGCAAUACCCUGCGCUGGACUGAGGUACGCGCAUUCGCAAGGAUGCUGGCGUAAUGGUCAUCAGCGACCCGUCUUGAAACACGGACCAAGGAGUCGUCUUCGUAUGCGAGUGUUCGGGUGUCAAACCCCUACGCGUAAUGAAAGUGAACGCAGGUGAGAGCUUCGGCGCAUCAUCGACCGAUCCUGAUGUUCUCGGAUGGAUUUGAGUAAGAGCAUACGGGGCCGGACCCGAAAGAAGGUGAACUAUGCCUGUAUAGGGUGAAGCCAGAGGAAACUCUGGUGGAGGCUCGCAGCGGUUCUGACGUGCGAAUCGAUCGUCAAAUAUGGGCAUGGGGGCGAAAGACUAAUCGAACCUUCUAGUAGCUGGUUUCCGCC